rnacentral:SRP_RNA from 1 species
AUCGAUAAAAACGCAUGCUAAACGCUUGCGUUUUUUUGAAUCGUCAUGUAAAAUAGAGAAGCCGUGUGUAUGAUGACGGUUGAGUCCUGUGCGAUUUCAAUGUGUGAACCCUGUCAGAUCCGGAAGGAAGCAGCAGUAAGCGCGGUUUGGAAUGUGCUGCGGGAUCGCUCAGCCUGAGUACACAUGGUUUUUAUUUCAAUUAAAGAU